AAGAAAUUAGUUAAACCUAAUAACAUUGGGAUUGUCAGACCAAAGUUACUGGUAAUCAACCCAGUAUUUCUUA
rfam:Pisaster ochraceus mitochondrial DNA for NADH dehydrogenase subunits 1, 2, 3 and 4L, cytochrome oxidase subunits I, II and III, ATPase subunits 6 and 8, and 13 tRNAs